rnacentral:rRNA from 1 species
GACGAACGCUGGCGGCGUGCUUAACACAUGCAAGUCGAGCGGUAAGGCCCUUUCGGGGGUACACGAGCGGCGAACGGGUGAGUAACACGUGGGUGACCUGCCCUCAGCUCUGGGAUAAGCCUGGGAAACCGGGUCUAAUACUGGAUAUGACUCCAUGACGCAUGUUGUGGGGUGAAAGCCUUGUGCGGCUGAGGAUGGGCCCGCGGCCUAUCAGCUUGUUGGUGGGGUGANGGCCUACCAAGGCGACGACGGGUAGCCGGCCUGAGAGGGCGACCGGCCACACUGGGACUGAGACACGGCCCAGACUCCUACGGGAGGCAGCAGUGGGGAAUCUUGCGCAAUGGGCGAAAGCCUGACGCAGCGACGCCGCGUGAGGGAUGACGGCCUCGGUUCGUAACG